rnacentral:rRNA from 1 species
AUUGAACGCUGGCGGCAUGCUUUACACAUGCAAGUCGAACGGCAGCGCGGGGCAACCUGGCGGCGAGUGGCGAACGGGUGAGUAAUACAUCGGAACGUACCCAGAAGUGGGGGAUAACGUAGCGAAAGUUACGCUAAUACCGCAUACGUUCUACGGAAGAAAGUGGGGGAUCGCAAGACCUCAUGCUUUUGGAGCGGCCGAUGUCUGAUUAGCUAGUUGGUAGGGUAAAGGCCUACCAAGGCGACGAUCAGUAGCUGGUCUGAGAGGACGACCAGCCACACUGGGACUGAGACACGGCCCAGACUCCUACGGGAGGCAGCAGUGGGGAAUUUUGGACAAUGGGCGCAAGCCUGAUCCAGCAAUGCCGCGUGAGUGAAGAAGGCCUUCGGGUUGUAAAGCUCUUUUGUCAGGGAAGAAACGGCUGGGGCUAAUAUCCCCGGCUAAUGACGGUACCUGAAGAAUAAGCACCGGCUAACUACGUGCCAGCCGCCGCGGUAACAC